CGGACGGGUGAGUAAUGUCUGGGAAACUGCCUGAUGGAGGGGGAUAACUACUGGAAACGGUAGCUAAUACCGCAUAACGUCGCAAGACCAAAGAGGGGACCUUCGGGCCUCUUGCCAUCGGAUGUGCCCAGAUGGGAUUAGCUAGUAGGUGGGGUAACGGCUCACCUAGGCGACGAUCCCUAGCUGGCCUGAGAGGAUGACCAGCCACACUGGAACUGAGACACGGUCCAG
rnacentral:rRNA from 1 species